rnacentral:rRNA from 1 species
AACGAACGCUGGCGGCAGGCCUAACACAUGCAAGUCGAACGCGUCCUUCGGGACGAGUGGCAGACGGGUGAGUAACGCGUGGGAACGUACCCUUGGUUCGGAACAACAGCGGGAAACUGCUGCUAAUACCGGAUAAGCCCUUCGGGGAAAGGAUUUAUCGCCAGAGGAUCGGCCCGCGUUAGAUUAGCUUGUUGGUGAGGUAAUGGCUCACCAAGGCUACGAUCUAUAGCUGGUCUGAGAGGAUGAUCAGCCACACUGGGACUGAGACACGGCCCAGACUCUUACGGGAGGCAGCAGUGGGGAAUCUUGGACAGUGGGGCGAAAGCCUGAUCCAGCCAUGCCGCGUGAAUGAUGAAGGCCCUA